rnacentral:rRNA from 1 species
CAGCCGCCGCGGGAAAACAGAGGGUGCGAGCGUUAAUCGGAUUUACUGGGCGUAAAGCGUGCGUAGGCGGCUUCUUAAGUCGGAUGUGAAAUCCCUGAGCUUAACUUAGGAAUUGCAUUCGAUACUGGGAAGCUAGAGUAUGGGAGAGGAUGGUAGAAUUCCAGGUGUAGCGGUGAAAUGCGUAGAGAUCUGGAGGAAUACCGAUGGCGAAGGCAGCCAUCUGGCCUAAUACUGACGCUGAGGUACGAAAGCAUGGGGAGCAAACAGGAUUAGAUACCCCAGUAGUUCCUGUCUCUUAUAC